AUGCCUUUACAGUUCCCCAGGAAGAAGGGGGCGGAGAUGGGUCUGGAGCGUCUCUGGCCCUUUAAGGAGGAGGGACCAGACAUAGAGUCUGUACCUUUAAGAGUCUCUUUGUCUGGAAACCUUCUUAUUUACCCUGUUGUGCUUCAACCAAACUUCGACCAGCCAUUCACAACGCCUCCUUACGCCGCCGCCUCUUACGCCAGGCUCAAAUCCGCCGCGCGUUCGUGGCUGACCCUAAACUUUGCGCCUGCGGCGCGAACCCUCGGACAGGGUGCCGGUGCCGGGGUCGCGGCCCAGCGCUGCGCCGUUGGCGCAAUGCAGGGCCUGAGGGGCGGAGCUCCUGCGGGCGGGCCAAUAGGCGGGCAGGGGGCGGGGCCGAGUUCGGUUGUCUCGCGCCCUGGUGACAGCUCGCGCGUGCUGAUGAUGGCGAUUCUUUGGAUGGGAAGAGACCUUGAAAGGACCUCUAGUUUAUCCUGCAACUCCAGCCAAUAUCCCACUUAAGUCAUCCCAGAUUCCCUAGAUGCCUUUUCCACCUGCCUGUCCAUGAAGAGCCCAGCACAUGAUCAAUAAGUGUGUUUUGUUCCUUGAUGCUGUCAAGCAGAACAAUAA
rnacentral:lncRNA from 13 species